GAGGGAGGAGCCGGCGCGAGGACGUGGGAGACGGCGGCGCAGGCGUGAGGACCUUGGCCAUGACGUCGACGCCAGGACCUGCAGGCGAAGACGCCGACGCGAGAUCCAGGAGGCGAAGCCCCGGCUGGUCUUGGUCGUAGUGGCCGCUCCCCCACAUACGUCCCCGCCGAUGCCGCGUGAGGUUCUGGAGGGGACGCCGCCGCCGCGAGGUAUUGGAGAUCCCGGCUGUACUUGGUCGUAGAACAGAGGACUUUCGUGUAGGAGAAAGCGAGAUGUUCAUAGUCCACGGUUGUCGUCUGAGUUUGUAUAUUCCCUAUGGUAGCAAAAAUAACGUCAAUUAUUAAGGCAGCCACCGGUUCAAACAGUGAGCAUCAGGUUUAUUGUCUGUCUUGGGUGUUCAUUGUAGCAAUAGUGUGAGUACUGGACAGCCUUCUGCCACCAUCGUUUACCUCCGACUCGCCAGCCAAUCACCAUCGUCUACCUCGUGCCUCGCCGGACAGCGCAGUCGUCAAACUCUGUCUCACCGGGCAGGCACUGCCGUCUACCUCUGCUUUGUAGUUAAUUGUGUGCUAGCAAUUCCUCCGGAAAACUUGUUAGGUUAUUCUAACUCUGCCAUGUAUCCAUGAUCUUGUUUUCUGAAUAUGUAAUUUUCUUUAGUGGUUUCAUUUUCAUUUUAUUUAUCAUAGCACUCCCAUGA